rnacentral:rRNA from 1 species
UUAUUGGAGAGUUUGAUCCUGGCUCAGGAUGAACGCUGGCGGCGUGCCUAAUACAUGCAAGUCGAGCGAAUGGAUUAAGAGCUUGCUCUUAUGAAGUUAGCGGCGGACGGGUGAGUAACACGUGGGUAACCUGCCCAUAAGACUGGGAUAACUCCGGGAAACCGGGGCUAAUACCGGAUAACAUUUUGAACUGCAUGGUUCGAAAUUGAAAGGCGGCUUCGGCUGUCACUUAUGGAUGGACCCGCGUCGCAUUAGCUAGUUGGUGAGGU